AGAGUCCUGAGGUGUACGUGGGACACAAAUCGUUUUGAGCCAACAGUUUUACAUUGGGAGCCCGGAAGUUUCAAUUGGAAUGGCAUGCCUCUUCCAAGUGGAAGUCUGAACAAUUGAACAGGGCACCCACCUGCCGGAAGCAGGCUUCAAAACUAUGUCAGUUUAACGGCACAUCGGGACUCUU
rnacentral:other from 1 species